rnacentral:misc_RNA from 1 species
GAUGAAGAACGCAGCGAAAUGCGAUACGUAAUGUGAAUUGCAGAAUUCAGUGAAUCAUCGAGUCUUUGAACGCACAUUGCGCCCCCCGGGUAUUCCGGGGGGCAUGCCUGUCCGAGCGUCAUUGCUGCCCUCAAGCACGGCUUGUGUGUUGGGCCUCCGUCCUCCUCCCGGGGGACGGGCCCGAAAGGCAGCGGCGGCACCGCGUCCGGUCCUCGAGCGUAUGGGGCUUCGUCACCCGCUCUUGUAGGCCCGGCCGGCGCUUGCCGACACAUCAAUCUUUUUUCCAGGUUGACCUCGGAUCAGGUAGGGAUACCCGCUGAACUUAAGCAUAUCAAUAAGCGGAGGA